GACGAACGCUGGCGGCGUGCUUAACACAUGCAAGUCGAACGGAAAGGCCCUGCUUUUGUGGGGUGCUCGAGUGGCGAACGGGUGAGUAACACGUGAGUAACCUGCCCUUGACUUUGGGAUAACUUCAGGAAACUGGGGCUAAUACCGGAUAGGAGCUCCUGCUGCAUGGUGGGGGUUGGAAAGGUUCGGCGGUUGGGGAUGGACUCGCGGCUUAUCAGCUUGUUGGUGGGGUAGUGGCUUACCAAGGCUUUGACGGGUAGCCGGCCUGAGGGGGUGACCGGCCACAUUGGGACUGAGAUGCGGCCCAGACUCCUACGGGAGGCAGCAGUGGGGAAUAUUGCACAAUGGGCGGAAGCCUGAUGCAGCAACGCCGCGUGCGGGAUGACGGCCUUCGGGUUGUAAACCGCUUUCGCCUGUGACGAAGCGUGAGUGACGGUAAUGGGUAAAGAAGCACCGGCUAACUACGUG
rnacentral:rRNA from 1 species